GAUGAAGAACGCAGUGAAAUGCGAUAAGUAAUGCGAAUUGCAGAAUUCAGUGAGUCAUCGAAUCUUUGAACGCACAUUGCGCCCUGUGGUAUUCCGCAGGGCAUGCCUGUUCGAGCGUCAUUUCAACCCUCAAGCUCUGCUUGGUGUUGGGCCCUGCCCGCUCGCGGCCGGCCCUAAAGACAGUGGCGGUGCCGUCUGGCUCUAAGCGUGGCACAUCUCUCGCUCUGGUGCCCGGCGGUGUCCUGCCAGAACCCCCCAACUCUGUGGUUGACCUCGGAUCAGGUAGGGAUACCCGCUGAACUUAAGCAUAUCAAUAAGCGGAGGA
rnacentral:misc_RNA from 1 species